rnacentral:rRNA from 1 species
AUUGAACGCUGGCGGCAGGCCUAACACAUGCAAGUCGAGCGGAGCGUCGGACGGGUGGGUAAUACCUAGGAAUCUGCCUGGUAGUGGGGGAUCACGUUCGGAAACGGACGCUAAUACCUCAUACUAUCAUAUGAGCCUCGGUCGGAGUAGCUAGUUGGUGAGGUAAUGGCUCACCAAGGCUACGAUCCGUAACUGUUCUGAGAGGAUGAUCAGUCACACGGGAACUGAGACACGGUCCAGACUCCUACGGGAGGCAGCAGUGGGGAAUAUUGGACAAUGGGCGAAAGUCUGAUCCAGCCAUGCCGCGUGUGUGAAGAAGGUCGUCGGAUUGUAAAGCACUUUAAGUUGGGAGGCGUUACCGACAGAAUAAGCACCGGCUAACUCUGUGCCAGCAGCCGCGGUAAUAC